rnacentral:rRNA from 1 species
AUUGAACGCUGGCGGCAUGCUUUACACAUGCAAGUCGAACGGUAGAGGGGCAACCCUUGAGAGUGGCGAACGGGUGAGUAAUGCAUCGGAACGUGCCCAGUAGUGGGGGAUAGCCCGGCGAAAGCCGGAUUAAUACCGCAUGAGACCUGAGGGUGAAAGCGGGGGAUCGCAAGACCUCGCGCUAUUGGAGCGGCCGAUGUCAGAUUAGCUAGUUGGUGGGGUAAAGGCCUACCAAGGCGACGAUCUGUAGCUGGUCUGAGAGGACGACCAGCCACACUGGGACUGAGACACGGCCCAGACUCCUACGGGAGGCAGCAGUGGGGAAUUUUGGACAAUGGGCGCAAGCCUGAUCCAGCCAUGCCGCGUGCGGGAAGAAGGCCUUCGGGUUGUAAACCGCUUUUGUCAGGGAAGAAAUCUUCUGGGCUAAUACCCUGGGAGGAUGACGGUACCUGAAGAAUAAGCACCGGCUAACUACGUGCCAGCCGCCGCCGCAGUAA